rnacentral:rRNA from 1 species
AUUGAACGCUGGCGGCAGGCCUAACACAUGCAAGUCGAGCGGAGCGGCGGACGGGUGAGUAAUGCCUAGGAAUGUGACUGGUAGUGGGGGAUAACGUCCGGCAACGGGCGCUAAUACAGCAUACUAUCAGAUGAGCCUAGGUCGGAUUAGAUAGAUGGUGGGGUAAAGGCCUACCAAGGCGACGAUCCGUAGCUGGUCUGAGAGGAUGAUCAGACACACUGGAACUGAGACACGGUCCAGACUCCUACGUGAGGCAGCAGUGGGGAAUAUUGGACAAUGGGCGAAAGCCUGAUCCAGCCAUGCCGCGGGUAUGAAGAAGGUCUUCGGAUUGUAAAGCACUUUAAGUUGGGAGGCGUUACCCGCAGAAUAAGCACCGGCUAACUUCGUGCCAGCAGCCGCGGUAAUAC